GUCAGGAUGGUUGAGUGGUCUAAGGUUCUAGACUCAACUUUUGGUCCUCGUGAGAAGGCGUGGGUUCAAAUCCCACUUUUGACA
rfam:Ipomoea nil DNA, scaffold: scaffold2942, cultivar: Tokyo-kokei standard.